AUUGUGAAAUACUCAGACCGGCCUGUCUGGCACCAACAACCAUGCCACGCUCAAAAUUGCUUAAAUCACCUUUCUUUCCCAUUCUGACAUUCAGUUUGGAGUUCAGGAGAUUGUCUUGACCAGGAACACACCCCUAAAUGCAUUGAAGCAACUGCCAUGUGAUUGGUUGAUUAGCUAAUUGCAUUAAUGAGAAAUUGAACAGGUGUUCCUAAUAAUACUUUUGGUGAUUGUACAAUUCAAUGUUCUAGGCUCUAUCUUCUUUUCUCUAUACAAUAAAUCACUAAUAUGGAUGAAACUCCGCUACUUUUCUCCCUCCUCCUUUCUGACACCCAGGUGGAGACAACAUCUCUGCAUGCCAGGCUAAAAUCUCAGCUUGAAUUUUGGUGUCCCUUUCCCAAAGUGAAAAAAGCCUUGGUGUGAUCUUUGUCAAAAGCCUGUCAUUUUCUACAACAUUUGAUGGGGAAGUAUGUUACUCACACAGGAUGCAGUGCAGGUUCUAAUUAAAGUCAGCUCCCACUCAAAUCAGUCAAAGCUCUUCACUGUUCUAACACCCCAAAGCACCCCCCUGAUAAUAGGUUACAUUUAUAAUUAGAUUAAAUUAAAUUCAUUUCAGUUGUCAUGUUCUUCUGCAACUUGCUGAUAACUUUAGAAAAAAUCUACUCAGUACAGCUGUGAUAUGGGACAUUGAAAAGAUGUUGAAAAUACCUAUUUCUGUAGUUUUUUUUUUGGAAGAGAUCAAUCUUUCAAUAACAUUUGCUCAGUGGACAGGCAAUUUUAAGGUUAAAACAUUAAACUGUGGUCGCUCUGGAUAACAGGGUCUGCUGAAUUACUAAAAUGUCAAUGUAAAAAGUAUUAGAACAUGCUUAUAAAUACAAUUUGGUUAAUCACUAAAAAAAAUGUUUUAACUAUGUAUUUGAUACAACUCAAACGGGAAUACAUAUUUAAAAUAUCAAGUAGUUAAACCAAGAUCUUACAUUCAUACACACAUACACACACACAUACCGAAAGAAUGCACAGGGAACUACCAUGGACUGAAUCUAGCCAUCUUAUCUCAUAGAACAUAAAUUAUAUAUUUGUACUUGACCUGUCUAGGUUUAUGAAUAUUUUGAAAAAUAUUGUUUUUUUAAGAUAAUUGAAGUAUUUCCUGAAUGUACAUGGGUUGUUCUGGAAUUGUGGUAGAAUUUGCCUCUCUUUGCUGCC
ensembl:lncRNA